rnacentral:rRNA from 1 species
UACAGAGGGCGCGAGCGUUGUCCGGAAUCACUGGGCGUAAAGGGCGCGUAGGUGGCGGCAUAAGGCUGUGGUGAAAGGCUGGGGCUCAACCCCAGCUCGGCCGUGGCAACUGUGUCGCUAGGGCACCGUAGAGGCAGAUGGAAUUCCGGGUGUAGCGGUGGAAUGCGUAGAGAUCCGGAAGAACACCAGUGGCGAAGGCGGUCUGCUGGGCGGUGGGACUUCGGUCCCAAUAGCCGACACUGAGGCGCGACAGCGUGGGGAGCAAACAGG